UAGGGAAUCUUCGGCAAUGGGGGGAACCCUGACCGAGCAACGCCGCGUGAGUGAAGAAGGUUUUCGGAUCGUAAAGCUCUGUUGUUAAGGAAGAACGAGCGUGAGAAUGGAAAGUUCAUGCUGUGACGGUACUUAACCAGAAAGGGACGGCUAACUACGUGCCAGCAGCCGCGGUAAUACGUAGGUCCCGAGCGUUGUCCGGAUUUAUUGGGCGUAAAGCGAGCGCAGGCGGUUAGAAAAGUCUGAAGUGAAAGGCAGUGGCUCAACCAUUGUAGGCUUUGGAAACUGUUUAACUUGAGUGCAGAAGGGGAGAGUGGAAUUCCAUGUGUAGCGGUGAAAUGCGUAGAGAUUAGGAGGAACACCGGUGGCGAAAGCGGCUCUCUGGUCUGUAACUGACGCUGAGGCUCGAAAGCGUGGGGAGCGAACAGG
rnacentral:rRNA from 1 species